UAUAGAUUCGGAAGGGAAUCCGAGGGAAUGAUCAUGAAGUGCGAAUCACUGGCUGUGCUGUUGACUGUCAUCGUACUGUUCGUCAAAGGACUGCAGUCCAGAUCAUGUUGCGGAGGACUGAUCUGGACUAUAGGAGACACCCUCAACAAUUUCGACAUCAAAUGAAUCUCUCUGUCAUACACUUUCAGUAAACUAUGUGUGUUCAUAAUAUAAUGCUUACAAAUAUUUUUUUUCCGGUUUUGCUAAGAACAAUUUUCAAAUGGGAAUGGAUAUAACCUUUUAAAAUAAGAAAUAUGAAUGUCAGAUAACAUUUUGAUAUUUUUGAUGAUCUUGAUUAGUGAAUGAUACUAAUAUGCAAAUUAUUAUGAAUGUGAUAUCAAUAAUGACAAUGAAAAUCCACAAUGUCAUUAUUUCUUAUGAUUAUUUUAUAAGAAUUGUGUCUAUAUAAUCACUAUUGCUGUAUUAUUACGAUCAUGAUUAAUAUCGUGUUUACAUCUAUGACAAUUAUUAUGAUCAUUUUAGAACCAAAAUACAAACACAGC